ACCUGAUGCAGCCAUGCCGCGUGUGUGAAGAAGGCCUUCGGGUUGUAAAGCACUUUCAGUUGUGAGGAAAAGUUAGUAGUUAAUACCUGCUAGCCGUGACGUUAACAACAGAAGAAGCACCGGCUAACUCCGUGCCAGCAGCCGCGGUAAUACGGAGGGUGCGAGCGUUAAUCGGAAUUACUGGGCGUAAAGCGCACGCAGGCGGUUUGUUAAGCUAGAUGUGAAAGCCCCGGGCUCAACCUGGGAUGGUCAUUUAGAACUGGCAGACUAGAGUCUUGGAGAGGGGAGUGGAAUUCCAGGUGUAGCGGUGAAAUGCGUAGAUAUCUGGAGGAACAUCAGUGGCGAAGGCGACUCCCUGGCCAAAGACUGACGCUCAUGUGCGAAAGUGUGGGUAGCGAACAGGAUUAGAUACCCUGGUAGUCCACACCGUAAACGCUGUCUACUAGCUGUUUGUGACUUUAAGUCGUGAGUAGCGAAGCUAACGCGAUAAGUAGACCGCCUGGGGAGUACGGCCGCAAGGUUAAAACUCA
rnacentral:rRNA from 1 species